UACGUAGGGUGCAAGCGUUGUCCGGAAUUAUUGGGCGUAAAGAGCUCGUAGGCGGUUUGUCGCGUCUGCUGUGAAAACUCAGGGCUUAACCCUGAGCCUGCAGUGGGUACGGGCAGACUAGAGUGUGGUAGGGGAGAUCGGAAUUCCUGGUGUAAGCGGUGAAAUGCGCAGAUAUCAGGAAGAACACCCGUGGCGAAGGCGGCUCUCUGGGACGGUACUGACGCUGAGACGCGAAAGCGUGGGGAGCGAACAGG
rnacentral:rRNA from 1 species